rnacentral:lncRNA from 10 species
UCGGGUGCGGAUGCGUGGGAGGAAAGGGGCAGGGGCAGGAACUGGUGGAAGAGCUGACAGCAAGGGGAGUGGCCAAACGGAGGCGGGGCCUGGAAGGGGGCGUGGCUUGCGGGCCUCUGGGCCGCCCGGCCUCUUUAGGUGCCGCAGCGGAAGGCCUGGAGCAGAGGCUGCUUCUCCGCCCAAGCACUCCCUGGCGAGCCCAGGCCCUCCCGAGGAGCAGAGAAUGGAAGGAAACCAAGUUUUGUCCUGCGAGUCCUCGCCCUCUGCAGGAAGAGGAUGUGCCCCGUCACCACUGUCAUGGUUCAGAGGCUCAUCAUCCCCUGCAUGCAUCAGUGCCUCGGCCCCCUAACGGGUCUCCCCACUGCUGAGCUCUUCCUCUCCGCUCCAUCCUUCACACAGCAGGCAGAGUGAUCUUUCAGAAACAUGCAUAUGAUCCUGUCAAGCCUUCGCUGAAAAGCCUUCAGUGUCAAUGUGCUUUCUAACCGCAGUUGUUCUCCGCCUCUGGUGUCAUGACACACUUGUUUGUCAUAUCAAUUCUGAGGCAGAUUCAUCCAUCCACCCAUUCAACAACUAUUUAUUGAACGCCUACUCUGUGUCAGUUAUUGUUGUAGGUGUUUGGGGGUACACCAGUAAACAAACAAACAAAAAUCUCUGCAUAUUGCCAGAAACUUGAUACUAGCAAGAGUUAAAGCCCUCAAGAUCGUGAAUAAUUUGACUAUUAUGGUGGAUGCAU